rnacentral:lncRNA from 1 species
CUUUCUGCACAACAACACGGCUGAAGGACGGCUUGGUGGAGGCAGACUCCGUUUCCUAAGGGCUUAUCCCAAGUUAGAGUUCAGAGGGAAGGGAAUAGAACGCGACUUGUCCACCAAACAAAAUAUGCGUGUUACUACAGUUGUAUGUAGUGGUCAGGCAAAAAGAAAAUCAGAACUUCCAAAGCUGGAGUGUCAGGUGGUUGUGAACUACUCAACCUGGUUCCUGGGAACCAAACUCAGGUCCUCCGCCAAAGGAGCACAUGCACUUAGCCACUGAGUCAUCUCUGAAGUCCCAGAAACCUCUGAAUGCCCAGGUGACAAGACCAAGGCUGAGAGACUAGGAAAGGGCUAAGAAUCUGAGUCACUGGCUGAGCAAACUACAGGUCAAUGGUGGACCUUCUCAAAAGCAAUACAUAAAUGAUCGAGGAACAAAAGCAUCACAUCAUCAACUUUUGCCCUCCACAACUGCCUACAGAGUAUAGAGAUUAAGUUCUUCACAACUCCUCACCUGCCUAGUUGAUCAGCCCAGCCAUUCUUUCCAUUUAUCUUCUGCAAUCAAGAGAAACUCUUCUGGACAAAAAGAUGUCCUCUGCAGAUGGCACCAGUCAAAAGAACCCAGUAAACACCAAACCUUGGUCUGCAGGUAAGGGGCCACUGUCAAUGGCCUGAUUACUCUGAUUGGUAGCCAAUGGUCAUCAAACCCUUGGUUUGGCUCUCUCCUCUGGGCGAGACAUUCUUGCCUACCACAGACUGCUUUAUUACAUCACCAUGAUCGAAUCACCAUGCUUCAGGAUAAUGUCGAUAGAACAAAGUCAGUGCCUCCUUCUGCUGCUAAGUUAAGAAUCCCCUUGGCCAUCAAGUAUGCUUCCCCAAACUAUUUCCAAAGACGUUUGAAAAUAUGGAGAAAGUUUCAGAAAGCUCCAUCAUUACUAUGAGCCUCAGUCCCCAAUCUCUGUCUUAAGAUGCUGCUUGGAUGUUGUUGGAUCCUGCACUGGAAUGUACUAGAAGGUUGGUCCUCAGUAGGGUCAUAGCAGAACUCAUGGGACACUUGGAAAUAGGAGUCUAAUGGGAGGGGCUGGGAUCACAGGGAGUGCUUUUCUCCAUUCUUUCUUUACUCUCAUGAUUGGUGAUGACCAUUUGUCCCCACACAUGUUCCUGUCAUUGCCACCUGCAUGGGAUCUUCCCCAAAACUGGGCCAGUCUGGCCAUCAGUCUCUGAAUGCUCAGAAUCACGAACUAAGUAGACUUCCUUGUUAUACAUAGUUAACCUGCCAUGGGUACUCUAUUGAAGCAAUGAAAAGCAGAUCAAUAUAGGAUAUAAGACCUUCU